CAACCCUCAAGCUCUGCUUGGUGUUGGGCCACGCCCCCGCGGCCGGCCCCAAAGCCAGUGGCGGUGCCGCCCGGCUCUAAGCGUAGUACACCUCUCGCUCUAGAGCCCGGCGGUUCCCUGCCAGAACCCACACUCUUAUGG
rnacentral:misc_RNA from 1 species